UACGGGGGGAGCAAGCGUUGUUCGGAUUUACUGGGCGUAAAGGGCGCGUAGGCGGUCGUGACAAGUCACUUGUGAAAUCUCCGGGCUUAACUCGGAACGGUCAAGUGAUACUGUCGGACUAGAGUACAGAAGGGGCAACUGGAAUUCUCGGUGUAGCGGUGAAAUGCGUAGAUAUCGGGAAGAACAUCUGUGGCGAAGGCGGGUUGCUGGGCUGACACUGACGCUGAGGCGCGAAAGCUAGGGGAGCGAACGGG
rnacentral:rRNA from 1 species